UACGAAGGGGGCUAGCGUUGCUCGGAAUCACUGGGCGUAAAGCGCACGUAGGCGGCUUUCUAAGUCAGGGGUGAAAUCCUGGAGCUCAACUCCAGAACUGCCCUUGAUACUGGAGAGCUUGAGUUCGGGAGAGGUGAGUGGAACUGCGAGUGUAGAGGUGAAAUUCGUAGAUAUUCGCAAGAACACCAGUGGCGAAGGCGGCUCACUGGCCCGAUACUGACGCUGAGGCACGAAAGCGUGGGGAGCAAACAGG
rnacentral:rRNA from 1 species